CCUACGGGAGGCAGCAGUGGGGGAUAUUGCACAAUGGGGGGAACCCUGAUGCAGCGACGCCGCGUGGGUGAAGAAGCGCCUCGGCGCGUAAAGCCCUGUCAGCAGGGAAGAAAAUGACGGUACCUGAAGAAGAAGCCCCGGCUAACUACGUGCCAGCAGCCGCGGUAAUACGUAGGGGGCAAGCGUUAUCCGGCUUUACUGGGUGUAAAGGGGGCGCAGACGGCGAUGCAAGCCAGGAGUGAAAGCCCGGGGCCCAACCCCGGGACUGCUCUUGGAACUGCGUGGCUGGAGUGCAGGAGGGGCAGGCGGAAUUCCUGGGGUAGCGGUGGAAUGCGUAGAUAUCAGGAGGAACACCGGUGGCGAAGGCGGCCUGCUGGACUGCAACUGACGUUGAGGCCCGAAAGCGUGGGGAGCAAACAGGAUUAGAUACCCCAGUAGUC
rnacentral:rRNA from 1 species